GAUGAACGCUGGCGGCGUGCCUAAUACAUGCAAGUCGAGCGAACAGAUGAGGAGCUUGCUCCUCUGACGUUAGCGGCGGACGGGUGAGUAACACGUGGAUAACCUACCUAUAAGACUGGGAUAACUUCGGGAAACCGGAGCUAAUACCGGAUAAUAUAUUGAACCGCAUGGUUCAAUAGUGAAAGACGGUUUUGCUGUCACUUAUAGAUGGAUCCGCGCCGCAUUAGCUAGUUGGUAAGGUAACGGCUUACCAAGGCAACGAUGCGUAGCCGACCUGAGAGGGUGAUCGGCCCCACUGGAACUUAGACACGGUCCAGACUCCUACGGGAGGCAGCAGGAGGGAAUCUUCCGCCAUGGGCGAAAGCCUGACGGAGCAACGCCGCGUGAGUGAUGAAGGUCUUCGGAUCGUAAAACUCUGUUAUUAGGGAAGAACAAAUGUGUAAGUAACUAUGCACGUCUUGACGGUACCUAAUCAGAAAGCCACGGCUAACUACGUG
rnacentral:rRNA from 1 species